CAGCUCUUUUGUGAUAACAUUUUUUGGUUGACACAUUGUUCAGUGGAGAAACUUAAAGCUUGGCACUAACUUGGUCACUUACUUAAGUGGAAAAGCUUAAAGACAUGGACAACCUAUCCGCAAUUCUACUGAGUUGGUGGCUGACAAAGUAAUUCAUUAAGCCAACAAGCACACGAGUCCAACAGUCUUCAACGAAGUUCGACAGUACAUUUAUGUUCAAACCUCGAGAAACCCAUAAUAUUUCACAAUGAGCGGUAACAAGUUCACGAUAAAGACAUUGUCAAACAUCAGCCAGAUCCUUCUGGUUAGGUUUUAGUUACCUUAUGUAUUUUUCUAAUCAUGUAUGAGUUUUUUCCCCUGCAGACAUAAAAUUACAUCCUAGCAGGUCACUGAAGUCCAUCAGUAGAUUGAUUUAUUUCCAAAUUCCAGGAUGUGUAUUAAUUUUUAGUCUACAAGAACACAUGUGUGAAAUCUUCAAGAAAAGACAUUUUCAACCCUCUUCUGGAUGUUCAAGUUUUAAAAAUUGUGUCCAUAAACAGAAUGUCAGCAAUCAUCCAGACGAUUAUGAAAUAACAUUCUUAACCUUCCUCAACCCAAGGGGCUCUUUAAUCAAGUCUAUAAAACAUGUGUGAAAUCUUCAAGAAAAGACAAUUUCAAGAUGAAGCCAGGAUUUCAACCCUCUUCUGGAUGUUCAAGUUUUAAAAAUUGUGAAAUGUCAUAACAUUCUUAACCUUCCUCAAGAGGCUCUUUAAUCAAGUCAACAACAGCACCUGUGUGAAAUCUUCAAGAAAAGACAUUUUCAAGCAGAAGCCAGGAUCUCAACAAACUUCUGGAUGUUCAAGAUUAAUAUUUGGAAAAUGUAAUAGUAUUUAUUUAUUUAUUUUUGUAAAGGGAGGGAAUUCAAGUAAAAUUUAGUUAUGUUUUAAAGGGGGAGGAUCUGGUGGGUGAUAUACAAUUAACUUAUUACACCUUUUGUUUUUCUUUUGUUUCA